rnacentral:rRNA from 1 species
GAUGAACGCUGGCGGCGUGCCUAAUACAUGCAAGUCGAGCGAACGGACGAUAAGCUUGCUUCUCUGAUGUUAGCGGCUGACGGGUGAGUAACACGUGGAUCACCUACCUCUAAGACUUGGAUAACUUCGGGAAACCGGAUCUAAUACCGGCUAAUAUUUUGAACCGCAUGGUUCAAAAGUUCAAGACGGUUUUGCUGUCACUUAUAGCUGGAUCCGCGUUGCAUUAGCUAGUUGGUAAGGUAACGGCUUACCAAGGCAACGAUGCAUAGCCGACCUGAGAGGAUGAUCAGCCACACUGGAACUGAGACACGGUCCAGACUCCUACGGGAGGCAGCAGUAGGGAAUAUUGGGCAAUGGGCGAAAGCCUGAUGGAGCAACGCCGCGUGAGUGAUGAAGGCCUUCGGGUCGUAAAGCUCUGUUAUUAGGGAAGAAAAGAUGUGGAAGAAAAUGCGCAUAUCUUGACGGUACCUAAUGAGAAAGCAACGGCUAACUACGUG